CGGCGGAGGGAUCAUUACAGAGUUGCAAAACUCCCUAAACCAUUGUGAACGUUACCCAAACCGUUGCUUCGGCGGGCGGCCCCGGGGUCAUCCCCGGGCGCCCCUGGGCCCCAUCGCGGGCGCCCGCCGGAGGUCACCAAACUCUUGAUAAUUUAUGGCCUCUCUGAGUCUUCUGUACUGAAUAAGUCAAAACUUUCAACAACGGAUCUCUUGGUUCUGGCAUCGAUGAAGAACGCAGCGAAAUGCGAUAAGUAAUGUGAAUUGCAGAAUUCAGUGAAUCAUUGAAUCUUUGAACGCACAUUGCGCCCGCCAGUAUUCUGGCGGGCAUGCCUGUUCGAGCGUCAUUUCAACCAUCAAGCCCCCGGCUUGUGUUGGGGACCUGCGGCUGCCGCAGGCCCUGAAAAGCAGUGGCGGGCUCGCUGUCACACCGAGCGUAGUAGCAUACAUCUCGCUCUGGGCGUGCUGCGGGUUCCGGCCGUUAAACCACCUUCAUAACCCAAGGUUGACCUCGGAUCAGGUAGGAAGACCCGCUGAACUUAAGCAUAUCAAGGG
rnacentral:rRNA from 1 species